rnacentral:rRNA from 1 species
CCUACGGGUGGCUGCAGUGAGGAAUAUUGGUCAAUGGGCGGGAGCCUGAACCAGCCAAGCAGCGUGAGGGAAGAAGGUACAGCGUAUCGUACACCUCUUUUGUCAGGGCACAAAGGCUGGGACUAGUCCCCGGAUGAGGGUACCUGAAGAAAAAGCAUCGGCUAACUCCGUUCCAGCAGCCGCGGUAAUACGGGGGAUGCGAGCGUUAUCCGGAUUAAUUGGGUUUAAGGGUUGCGCAGGGGGCCUGUUAAGUCAGCGGUAAAAGCCCGGGGGUCAACCCCGGCGAGCCGUUGAAACUGGCGGGCUGGAGUUGGAGAGAAGUACGCGGAAUGCGCGGUGUAGCGGUGAAAUGCUUAGAUAUCGCGCAGAACCCCGAUUGCGAAGGCAGCGUACCGGCUCCACACUGACGCUGAGGCACGAAAGCGUGGGUAUCGAACAGGAUUAGAUACACUUGUAGUC